ACCAGCUGCUGUCUCUGGCAACCAAAAGGCUGCUGUGGAGAGGAUAAAAACCUAAAGAGUUCUGAGGAAGAACAGGUACCUCCUCUGCCAAACUGCAGCUGUGCAAGUCAACAAGACAUCGCUGACCAACUUGCUGCCUCCCUAUGGACCAACAAGACGUCACUGGAUCCCAGUUGCCAGCAGAACUGCACUAAGACUGCUCCAAACGGAUUGUCCACCAGAGUAACAACAGGGUCCAAGAGAAAAUAUACCAAAUCCACAGGACACGUCAGAUGCUCAGAUCUCAGGAUAAGCAUACUCUAAAGGUUCUCAUAGACUGAAUAUCGUUAAGGUCUUUUGCCUUAAUGGGCUUUGCCAGGCCUGUGGAAUAGACAGUACUGCACUUAAAACACAAGCAUGAGUCAUCAGUGCUGCCCUAUGUAGUGGGCUCAGCUCCAUAUUUGGUCCUUCAGAAACAAAAAUCUCCAGAUAGUUCCUGCAAUUAAAAUUCUAGUCUCUGUUCUUGGUCAUUGAGCCUGAAUGCUGAAUUAGAACUGUUUGCACAAGUUUCCCAGGAUUUUUCCAUGUAGCUGUGGAUGUCUGGCAAAUCAGACCAGACCUUUUGCAAAUAACAUCACUGGAGAAUACGGGUGGUGCUGUCAGAAAGAGUCAGAAACAAAUCAGCUUGGCUGGAAUUGCCAGCCAGCUGAGAUGCCAGCCUGUGGGUUUGCAGGGCUUCAUUGUGAGCUGCGUGAUGCUUUGCACAUCUACUGUUGUACUGUGACAUUGGUUGUAAAUUAAUAAAAUAUAUAUGCUUU